UACGUAGGGGGCAAGUGUUGUCCGGAAUUAUUGGGCGUAAAGAGCGUGUAGGCGGUUCGAUAAGUUUGCUGUAAAAGUCGGGGGCUCAACCCCCGAAAGCCGGUGAAUACUGUCGGGCUAGAGUACGGAAGAGGCGAGUGGAAUUCCUGGUGUAGCGGUGAAAUGCGCAGAUAUCAGGAGGAACACCAGCGGCGAAGGCGGCGCUCUGGGCCGGAACUGACGCUGAGGAGCGAAAGCCAGGGGAGCAAACGGG
rnacentral:rRNA from 1 species